GCUGGCCGUAGAGGCUUUCAGCUGGCUGUAGAGGCUUUCAGCUGGCCGUAGAGGCUUUCAGCUGGCCGUAGAGGCUUUCAGCUGGCCGUAGAGGCUUUCAGCUGGCCGUAGAGGCUUUCAGCUGGCCGUAGAGGCUUUCAGCUGGCCGUAGAGGCUUUCAGCUGGCCGUAGAGGCUUUCAGCUGGCCAUAGUGGCUUUCAGCUGGCCGUAGUGGCUUUCAGCUGGCUGUAGAGGCUUUCAGCUGGCCGUAGAGGCUUUCAGCUGGCCGUAGAGGCUUUCGGCUGGCCGUAGAGGCUUUCAGCUGGCUGUAGAGGCUUUCGGCUGGCCGUAGAGGCUUUCAGCUGGCCGUAGAGGCUUUCAGCUGGCCGUAGAGGCUUUCAGCUGGCCGUAGAGGCUUUCAGCUGGCCGUAGAGGCUUUCAGCUGGCCGUAGAGGCUUUCGGCUGGCUUUCAGCUGGCCGUAGAGGCUUUCAGCUGGCCGUAGAGGCUUUCAGCUGGCCGUAGAGGCUUUCAGCUGGCCGUAGAGGCUUUCAGCUGGCCAUAGAGGCUUUCAGCU
rnacentral:lncRNA from 1 species